UGGGGAAUAUUGCACAAUGGGCGCAAGCCUGAUGCAGCCAUGCCGCGUGUAUGAAGAAGGCCUUCGGGUUGUAAAGUACUUUCAGUCGGGAGGAAGGUGGUAAGGUUAAUAACCUUGGCAAUUGACGUUACCGACAGAAGAAGCACCGGCUAACUCCGUGCCAGCAGCCGCGGUAAUACGGAGGGUGCAAGCGUUAAUCGGAAUUACUGGGCGUAAAGCGCACGCAGGCGGUUGAUUGAGUCAGAUGUGAAAUCCCCGGGCUUAACCCGGGAAUUGCAUCUGAUACUGGUCAGCUAGAGUCUUGUAGAGGGGGGUAGUAUUCCAUGUGUAGCGGUGAAAUGCGUAGGAAUGUGGAGGAGUACCGGUGGCGAAGGCGGCCCCCUGGACAAAGACUGACGCUCAGGUGCGAAAGCGUGGGGAGCAAACAGG
rnacentral:rRNA from 1 species